rnacentral:rRNA from 1 species
UACGGAGGAUGCGAGCGUUAUCCGGAUUUAUUGGGUUUAAAGGGUGCGUAGGCGGAAUAUCAAGUCAGCGGUCAAAUCGUGGGGCUCAACCCCAUCCAGCCGUUGAAACUGGGGAUCUAGAGUGUGCGAGAGGUAUGCGGAAUGCGUGGUGUAGCGGUGAAAUGCAUAGAUAUCACGCAGAACCCCGAUUGCGAAGGCAGCAUACCGGUGCACAACUGACGCUCAGGCACGAAAGCGUGGGUAUCGAACAGG